UACGUAGGGCGCGAGCGUUGUCCGGAAUUAUUGGGCGUAAAGGGCUCGUAGGUGGCCAACUAAGUCAGACGUGAAAUCCCCUCAGCUUAACUGGGGAACUGCGUCUGAUACUGGAUGGCUUGAGUUUGGGAGAGGGAUGCGGAAUUCCAGGUGUAGCGGUGAAAUGCGUAGAUAUCUGGAGGAACACCGGUGGCGAAGGCGGCAUCCUGGACCAACACUGACACUGAUGAGCGAAAGCCAGGGGAGCAAACGGG
rnacentral:rRNA from 1 species